AAACCAACCGGGAUUGCCUCAGUAACGGCGAGUGAAGCGGCAACAGCUCAAAUUUGAAAGCCCGCGGGCGUUGUAAUUUGCAGGCGGAUGUUUUGGGGCGGGCGCUGUCUACGUUCCUUGGAACAGGACGCCGCAGAGGGUGAGAGCCCCGUGCGAUGGCGCCUUUAACCGCGUAAAACUCCGCCGACGAGUCGAGUUGUUUGGGAAUGCAGCUCCAAGUGGGUGGUAAAUUCCAUCUAAAGCUAAAUACUGGCGAGAGACCGAUAGCGAACAAGUACAGUGAUGGAAAGAUGAAAAGCACUUUGAAAAGAGAGUGAAACAGCACGUGAAAUUGUUGAAAGGGAAGGGUAUGCGAUUAGCGGCCAGCAGGAGGUGCGUUCUCGCGAAAAGGCCGUGCACCGUCUUCGGACACCGUGCGCGGAGAUGGCGAGGGGGCGCCUGAGGUCUGCGACUCG
rnacentral:rRNA from 1 species